rnacentral:sRNA from 1 species
GGCACUCCUAAGUCCAGCUGACUGUGACACACUUCUAGUUCCGAGGUUUCAGAGUUCUAGAACCCUGCUCACUCUUAUUUCUUGCUGACGCAGACUGGUCUGUGUGUGUCUCCCAUGAACAGAGCCGUCCCAGACGUGUUCUGAGCAGGUGGAGACAAGGUGCCCGUGAGGCCACACUGGCCUCUGCCUUUCUGCAAUUGAAUCCAGAGAACAACUGGAGGAAGAAGAGAUGGGGGAAAUAAAGGAGGGGAAUGGCUCGCAUGCUGUACCCCUCCAAAGGUCGGGGGCUUUCCGGGCCCACGGCCGCAACAAUGACGUCUUCAGAAGACAUAGUUGGGGGCCUGGCAGGGAGCUCGAGGGCCCACUGAAUACGAGGAGACUGCAAGCAUCGGGAUGCCCAGGCCCCAAGGAGGCCCUCUUCCUGCAGAUCCGAGAAGGACAGGACACCUUUCUGGGACUGCAGCACCAGGGUGGCUACGCCUCCCGGCUG